rnacentral:lncRNA from 1 species
CCCAUCUACCCAUGAUAAAGGGCCUAAAUCCUAGUCUGGAUCGAAAAUAAGGCUUCAAAAGGACUCAAAUAUCUUUUUCAGUCGUUAGAUCUCUCCGACAAGCUUCUUUGACACUUGGAUCACGCAAAAUCAUGCGUCAACCAUUAGAUCAUGCAAACAAGGGCCAUGCACCAUGAUUUUUCAUGCAUGGACCAGAUCGGUCCAUGACAGAUGCAUGGAUCAUGCCAAGUUCCC